rnacentral:rRNA from 1 species
AACGAACGCUGGCGGCAUGCCUAACACAUGCAAGUCGAACGAGACCUUCGGGACUAGUGGCGCACGGGUGCGUAACGCGUGGGAACCUGCCCUUAGGUUCGGAAUAACUCCCCGAAAGGGGUGCUAAUACCGGAUAAUGUCUUCGGAUCAAAGAUUUAUCGCCUUUGGAGGGGCCCGCGUUGGAUUAGCUAGUUGGUAGGGUAAAAGCCUACCAAGGAGACGAUACAUAGCUGGUCUGAGAGGAUGAUCAGCCACACUGAGGCUGAGACACGGCGCAGACUCUUACGGGAUGCAGCAGUGGGUAAUCUUGGACAAUGGGCGAAAGCCUGAUCCAGCAAUGCCGCGUGAGUGAUGAAGGCCUUAGGGUUGUAAAGCUCUUUUACCCGGGAUGAUAAUGACAGUACCGGGAGAAUAAGCUCCGGCUAACUCCGUG